rnacentral:rRNA from 1 species
AUUGAACGCUGGCGGCAUGCCUUACACAUGCAAGUCGAACGGUAACAGGUCUUCGGAUGCUGACGAGUGGCGAACGGGUGAGUAAUACAUCGGAACGUGCCCGAGAGUGGGGGAUAACGAGGCGAAAGCUUUGCUAACACCGCAUACGAUCUCAGGAUGAAAGCAGGGGACCGCAAGGCCUUGCGCUCACGGAGCGGCCGAUGGCAGAUUAGGUAGUUGGUGGGAUAAAAGCUUACCAAGCCGACGAUCUGUAGCUGGUCGGAGAGGACGACCAGCCAGACUGGGACUGAGAAGAGGCCCAGACUCCUACGGGAGGCAGCGGUGGGGAAUUUUGGACAAUGGGCGCAAGCCUGAUCCAGCCAUGCCGCGUGCAGGAUGAAGGCCUUCGGGUUGUAAACUGCUUUUGUACGGAACGAAAAGACUCUGGUUAAUACCUGGGGUCCAUGACGGUACCGUAAGAAUAAGCACCGGCUAACUACGUGCCAGCAGCCGCCGCAGUAA